UACGUACUCCCUCCGCUCGAAAAAGCUUGUCUUUCAAAUGAAUGUAUCUAGCACUGACUUGGUGGUAGAUACAUUCAUUUAAGGGACAAGCUUUUUCGAACGGAGGGAGUACCAU
rfam:Triticum aestivum genome assembly, contig: Triticum_aestivum_CS42_TGACv1_scaffold_330720_4BS